GAAGCCAGGGCUGUUAUCACCUCUCCUUAGCCCUUUAAGUGCAGCAGGCUCUUUGGUGUCUCUCGCUGAAUGCCGCUUUGUUAAUUGCGACGGUAAACAGGACACAGCGCUGACCAUCGCCGUGUUUUGCUCAGGCGGCACUUACCACAAAACCGCUGGAUUUAGGAAAGGAGCCUGAGUCCAGGGGGAGUCACACACGAAGGAGGGUUCGUAGAAGUACUCAGCAUUUCCUGGACUUGCUUCUAUCAUUUAAAAUGUAUUGCAUACCUUGAAGUGAAUGUAAUGGCUGGCUUAAUUGGAGAUAACUUCACUGAAGUGGCCGUAGUUACCAUUUAUGUCAGCAGUGAAUGUGCCCUUUAACGCUGUGCCCCUCAGAAUUUCUACAAGAGAGGAAUUGGAGUCCUGGCAGAGUGAUCAGAAGUGUGACAUUCAGGAGAGGAAAAGAUAUUUCCGGAUCCUGUCACAGCAUCUGUAGAGCCAUAUUCCAGCUGUUCUCAGACUUUCCCAUUUCUGGAAGCCUGCCUCUCCUUCAGCUCCAACCACAAAUGUCCAUCCACACAAUAGAAAUCCAGUCAUUCUCCAAGAGGUCAGUCAAAGAAUAACUAAAGAUUACCCCAGAAUGUCUGUUAUUUUUUCACUCCCAUCUAAGGACCUUUAGAAUCACAAAGUCAGGCAUGAACUCAUUACGUCAAAGCAAGACACCAACUUUUUUGUGAACUCGCCCUGUUUGAAUUGCGUGUAAAUGUCUUUCCCAAAGUUGCUAAGGUCUUUAGCUCAGGCAUGUCCAAGCUGCAAAUCAGGAUGUCAAAAUAUGCAAGAAAAUGUUAAUGUCACAACCCCCUCCAAAAUAAAGGAAUUAACAGGUUUUCUGUUCUCUUUAAAAUUUAGGCAACUUGCUUGAUGACAAUCAGCAGUCCUGUCACUUUCAGAUGUCACCAGCUAUAUCUUGCUGCUGCUUUACUAUAGAUUUGAAGUUCUAUCUGCUCUUUGCUCUUUUUUGGUUGAAAAAAACUUCCCACCAUGGUGUCUAAAUACUUGGGAAAGCAUUUUCAAAAGACCCAAAAAUAUAUGCGGGAUGCUUCAGAUUUUGUUUAAAAAGAAAGAAAAAGGAAUAAAUCUUCAGAGUCCUGUUGAAUAUUUGUACAUCUGGAUAUAUUUGAUUCCUCAUGUCUUUAACCUCAACACUAGUGCACUGAACUGCACUGGAUCCUAAUUUCCAAUAACUUUUAGUAACUUAAUAUCCUAGUUAAUUUUUACAAUAUUACAUAUUAAGCUUACCUUCAUGCUGACCACUAGAACACAUGCUAUGUUGCUCAAAUAUGUACAUGUAGAAUGCUUGUGUGUGUACCACAAAUUAAAAAAAAU